CACCGCGGUCAUACGAGUGUGCCCGAGUAGACAGCCGGCGGCGUAAAGCGUGGUUAAGGAGGAACCCAACUAAAGAUGAACCGCCCCCUGGCUGUUAUACGCACCCGAGACUGUGAAACCCCACUACGAAAGUGACUUUAAUCUGACCCGAACCCACGAAAGCUAAGGAA
rnacentral:rRNA from 1 species